AACGAACGCUGGCGGCAUGCCUAACACAUGCAAGUCGAGCGGACCCUUCGGGGUUAGCGGCGGACGGGGGAGUAACGCGUCGGGAUAUGCCCUUCUCUACGGAAUACUUCUGGGAAACUGGUGGUAAUGCCGUAUACGCGCUUUGGGGGGAAGAUUUAUCGGGGUAGUAUGAGCCCGAGUUGGAUUAGGUAGUUGGUUGGGUAAUGGAAUGCCAAGCCGACGAUUCAUAGCUGGGUUGAGAGGAUGAUCAGCCACACUGGGACGGAGACACGGCCCAGAAUCCUACGGGAGGCAGCAGUGGGGAAUGGUAGAACACGGCGGCAACCCUGAUGUAGCCCGGCUGGGUGAGUGAUGAAGGUAGUAGGGUAGUAAAGCGUUUUCAGCUGGGCAGAUAAUGACGGUACCAGAAGAAGAAGCCCCGGCUAACUACGUG
rnacentral:rRNA from 1 species